GCGAUGAACCAGGCUGCCGCUUUGGGUUUGCCAAACAGGUGAAUUCAAGGAGGAAAGUCCGGGCUCCGCAGGGCAUGAUGCCGGGUAACGCCCGGGACCCAGAAAUGGGGACAGACAGCGCCACAGAAAAAAACCGCCUGGCCUGACCGCUAAAAAUGCUAAAUAUUGGCUUUUUUUGAACAAUUUUAUGGUAUUUUUAGUGGUCAGGCAGGGUAAGGGUGAAAAGGCGGGGUAAGAGCCCACCUCGGUUGCGGCAACGCCGCCGGAAAAAGGCAAGCCUCAUCAGGAGCAAAGUCAAGCAGCGUACCAAUUGCCCGUUGGUUAAACGCGGGUAGACUGCUAAAAAGAGCCGAAAACGGCUUUUUUAGACAGAUGGCAGCGGCCGGUUUUGACCGGCAACAGAACCCGGCUUAUGGUUCAUCGCGUUU
rnacentral:RNase_P_RNA from 1 species